CCAAUAUUGGUACCAGAUAGUACCCAGUAGUUAAACCCAGCAUGUCAACACCUAGGUACUUAACUGGGGGAAACUGACAAUUAAACAUUCCUUUUCUGUUGUGCUAUACCGACGCUCGUUUUUGGUAAGAGACCUACUUAGGAAACAAAUAGCCUGCUCUUCGUCACCUUGAACCUGAUAAAGGACAGCUCCAAGUCCAAAAUCGGAAGCGUAACAUUGGAUAAUAAAAGGAAGAUCAAAAUCUGGACAUGAUAAAACAGGUGCUCUGACCAGUUUCUCUUUAAUAGUAUUAAAAGCAUUUUCACAUUCAGGACUGCAUACAAACUUUACGGUCAAUGAGGUCAAGGGAGCUACUAUCGUGGAAAAGUUAGGAACAAACCUCCGAUACCAAGAUGCGAGUCCAACAAUUCUUCUAAUAUCAGUAACAGUCUUGGGGGUUGGUAUACGCAGAAUAGCCUCAAUCUUCUCGGGAGUAGACCGGAAGAAUUAACAAUGUAUCCCAAAUAUUUUAACUCGGGUUUACAAAAGGACCUCACGUAAAACACGAAUAUGUUCCUCGAACGACGGGGUGGAAAUGAUUACGUCGUCAAGAUAGACGAAGACCUAUGGCACCAAGUCAACACCAAUAACAGAAUCGAUCAGUCUUUGCCAUACUGCAGGGGCAUUAGUCAACCCAAAAGGCAUACGGGUAAAUUGGAAAAGUCCUCUAGUGAGGACUGUAAAUGCAGUAAGCGGGCGAGAUUCUGGUGCAAUAGGUAUUUGCCAAUACGCAGACUUAAUAUCCAACGUACUAAGGAACUUCGCAUCUCUUAAUUUAUCUAAAGUGGCAGAAACAAAAGGAAUUUAUGUCUCUAACUGGAAGACAAGAAAUGUGUUCUGAACUGCCUGGAAGAAAUUAAAAAUUACUUCAACUAUCAGUGAGUCGGUGUGACUAAUUUUUUAUCGAGUCCAGGCAGUUGAAAAGGGCAAACCAACAAGAAAAUGCUGAUUU